UAAGACAGAGGCCCCGAGCGUUAAUCGGAAUCACUGGGCUUAAAGGGUGCGUAGGCCGGCCCGCAAGUGCUUCGUGAAAGCCCACGGCUCAACCGUGGAACAGCGGGGCAUACUGCGGGUCUUGAGGCAGGUAGGGGUCGCGAGAACAGUAGGUGGAGCGGUGAAAUGCGUAGAUAUCUACUGGAAUGCCGAUGGUGAAGACGCGCGACUGGGCCUGUCCUGACGCUGAGGCACGAAAGCGUGGGGAGCAAACAGGAUUAGAUACCCUGGUAGUCCACGCCGUAAACGAUGUACGCUAGAUCGGUGCCGCUCUCACGCGGGAUCGGUCGUAGUAAAAACGAUAAGCGUACCGCCUGGGGAGUACGGUCGCAAGGCUA
rnacentral:rRNA from 1 species